GGUAGGGAAGUACUUAAUUGACGGCAAAAAGGUGAUUAAACAUUCUUUGAUGAAUGUUUUUUGCUGGCUGCUGAGGAAAGUCCACCCACUACAAAGAGCCACUCAUUUGAGAUGGAGAAAUCCAUGGCAAUGGCUAAUAAACGACACGGCUGUGUGCUGAGCAUUUUCUUCGAAAAUGCUGGCAUCUUGCAAAUUAUUUGCAAGACAUCGGGAUGAAAAUGGCGAAGUUUGCUGCGAGGCAAAUGAGCUGACCCAUUGACUAUGCUGUACAGAAUCGGUGAAACGGCGAAACCUGGCUGGUGCAAGUGUCUUUGAACACGCUUAGUAGAAUAUUAAGACAGACUGUUCAUGCUUAUGUGUGAAGUCUGACAAAAGGUGGCUUAUGCUUCUCCUACC
rnacentral:RNase_P_RNA from 1 species